UUGCUAAUUGUGUAACCCUGGGAGAGUCAUUUAUCCUUUCUAGGCUAUGGCUUCUUCAUAUGCAAAAUGAAAGGGCUGAGCUAAAUCAGGGAUCAUUAACUAAUCGAGACCUCUUUGGUAGACUGGUAAAGUUUAUGGCCCCCUUCUCAGAUUUCUCUUUUUAAAAGCAUAAAACCAAAAAUUCUUCCAAUUUCUCAUCAGUUUUUGGUAUUAAUUUGGUGUCUUUCUCCUUUACCUCUCUAGGUUCUUAAAGUGGGAGAAGUUAUUAUCUCUUCUAUGAUGACUUGGGGUUCUACAUGAUGUCAUGGCCAAGAGAACGAGAGUUCUAUGAUCAUACAGGGAGAUAUUCUCCUUUAGGCUACAUGGUAGGGUGGAGAUAGGUUACUUGAAUUAGCACCAAAAUUAUUUAACAUAAAGCUAGAAUUUAGUUAGGAGGAACAGUCAUUGGAUUGUGAUAUGUUUGGCAGGCUCGCCUGCUGAGCUCUUCUGCAUUUCAGAUGACAUGUUGAAAUAUAGAAAAUAUGCCCCGAAGAACUUCACAUCAAUUGCUGAGUAAAUUUGCAGCUCUUCUUUAGCCCCCAGCAGUUCCAGAACUCAGUUGUGACUCCAAGCAGCAGGAAAUCUGACCAGAAGCUGGUAUGUGACAUUCCCCUUUUUGACAUAUGUGACUACAAUGUCUCAAGAGACCAGUGCAAGAAACUAGGAUGCUGCUUUUUUAAAGAAGUCUGCUAUGAAAAAGCUGUUCCAGCUUAUGUUCAAGGAUUUACUGCCUCGAUAAUCAUCAUCAUGGGACUCUUCAUUAUCUAUGUAACAUACAGUGUUGUACAGGGAAGAAAUAAAAAAACAACUCAAAAGUAUGGAUCACAUCAAAAGAAGAACACAUUGAGGCCUGAGAUUAUCCCAGUGAAUCGUGAGGUAUCUGAUGAAGAAGUUAUGCCGAUUAAUGAAGAAGGGUUGGAAUAAAGAAACAUGAUAAAAUCAAGGAGGACAUAUCCAAUAGCGAUGGUUAAGGAACAAUUUCUUGGGCAGCUCAGAUUCCGUUAUUUUAUAUGAUGAAGCUUCCAUUUCAUCUGGAAAAAGAAUACAAAUAAUAUUUUUCAAAGUGCUUUCUGUGUUGCAUUUUCUUAUUCAAUUCUAUGUAUUUAUUUGUGGCAGGAGGGAAUAAAGAAAGGGAGAGGGGGAGAGAUGGAGAAGGAGAAAGAGAGGGAGAAGAAGAGAGAGAAAUGGGGAAAGGAAAAGGGAAAGGGAGGAAAGGGAAAGGGAGAAAGAGGGAGGCAAAAAGGGAGAGAGAAACAGAGAGGGAAAGGGAGGGAGAGAAAGAGAAAUGAAAAAAUAUCAAGUGCUUAUUGUGUGUCUGGGACUGUGUGUAACAAAUGAAAAGUCUGAGAGAUAAUUUCUGGAUUAUUGAUAAUGAAUUUAUUAAUUAUGGCUAACUAAUAGUUAAUAGAUUGAGGUCAGUGGUUUUCUGAUAAACUAAAGACCCCAUUCCCCCUGAACAUUGAAUGCUUAAUAAGCCUUUGGAAAAGGGGGGUGUACCUGAGACUGAAAAUCAACUCUAAUUAGUUAACAAUAAAUGAGGGGGUAGACAUAUUAAUGAGGACAUGGUCAAAAAGUCUUCAGCUCUUGCUGACAAUAUGGCCUGAUCAUGAAUCUCAGCUAUUUCCAGUAAUCUGGACAAAACAAUCCAUCUCUAUCUGGACUGCUUUGGUUGGUUUUAAGAGGACCAUGAUAUCAGGAAGGUGAUGUCAUAACUUGCAAAUAUAUUGAAUACAAGUGAGGGAGGGCUGUGCAAAAUAAGCAGCCUCAC